rnacentral:lncRNA from 1 species
AACCAUUUUUUCACCUGCAUUUUAUGAACCACAAGUAAGCACAUAACUUCAUUCUGAAAGUAACUAGAAAAUAGUAUUCUAUUAAACUCUAAGAGUGUUAUAUUCUACUAUGACAAAAGAGUGUUGACAAUCAUAAAGCUAACUAUUAAGAGUGUUCUAUUAACCUUUACAACUGUUCUAUUAUGGCAUAAAACUGUUCUAAACCAAAAAACUGAUAGCAGUAUUCUAUUAAGCUUCAAGAAUGUUUUAUUAAGUCAUAAAAGAGUAAGAUUGCAAUGUAUA